CCUACGGGUGGCAGCAGUGAGGAAUAUUGGUCAAUGGACGAGAGUCUGAACCAGCCAAGUAGCGUGAAGGAUGACUGCCCUAUGGGUUGUAAACUUCUUUUAUAUGGGAAUAAAAUGUUCCACGUGUGGGAUUUUGUAUGUACCAUAUGAAUAAGGAUCGGCUAACUCCGUGCCAGCAGCCGCGGUAAUACGGAGGAUCCGAGCGUUAUCCGGAUUUAUUGGGUUUAAAGGGAGCGUAGGUGGAUUGUUAAGUCAGUUGUGAAAGUUUGCGGCUCAACAGUAAAAUUGCAGUUGAAACUGGCAGUCUUGAGUACAGUAGAGGUGGGCGGAAUUCGUGGUGUAGCGGUGAAAUGCUUAGAGAUCACGAAGAACUCCGAUUGCGAAGGCAGUUCACUGGACUGCAACUGACACUGAGGCUCGAAAGUGUGGGUAUCAAACAGGAUUAGAUACCCGGGUAGUC
rnacentral:rRNA from 1 species